CCUUACAUCCCACAGGCAACUUAACUCGAGCCCGAUGUGAAAAUGCCCCCGCAUUAAUCACCCCUAGUGAGGAGUCUCGAACAGGAGACCUCCCGAUCUGAUAUCAAUUUGAUGCAGGACAACUAACCAGUUGCUCUAAAAGCUCGAACUGAUGGAGCAUGUCGAAUUAAUCCCUUUAUCUCAUAGCCUAAGCCCCAAAUCCAUGGGUUAGGUCCUCAGCCAAACCCUCCUCGUAAGCUCCAAAUCCAUGGGUUUCGCCCCCUCGUAGGUCCCAAAUCCAUAGGCUCCGCCUUACACGAGUCACCCGUCUCACACGAGCCCCAAAUCCAUGGGUUAUGCGGACCACCCACCCCGAGUGUGCCGCUGCAUCCCACAGGCCACCCCACUUGAGCCCAGUGUGAAAAUGCCCCUACAUUAAUUAGGCACUAUCCGCAUCAAUCAUCCAGACCUUUUAAUUCUCAAACUUCUGAUAUAUGCAUCAGUUGAAAUUUUUUUACCACUUAUCCACUCUCUACCUCAUCAGUUAGGAAGUUUCAGGCAGGCAUUCAAACAGCUUGUUGUUUGCUCCAAUGAUGUGUGCCAAAGUCCGAUGCCGUGGAGCUGUGUCAUGGGACAUGCGACCUUCACAACGGCGGAAAUUAGUAAGUGGCCCACCCAACUCUUGUUUGACAUGCUAAAUUCCACUUCUAGAUGGAUCCUAUUCUAUAAUUUAAUGGGUACCCACUUCCUCUGAUGAUGAGCUUAUCUCUGUUCUUAUGCCUAUCCAGAACCGUUGAAAUUGUGGGUCCUAUUGUCGAUGGAGCAUAUCUCUAAAAUUGCACUGAUCAAAUAAUCCUAACCAUCCAUUGGCUAUCAAAUGGAUGGUUAAAAGUAAAAUAUUGAGUAUCCAAAUUCAAAUGGGAAAAAUCAGAUGGUUCGUACGAUCUUCUCACUGCAAUCUUUUGCUCAUGCUCCAUCCACAGUGGGUUCAGCAGUUUGGAGAGUCUGGAUGGACAACAUGGUUAAAAGAUUUGGUGACUCAACCUGACUCAUUUGGCCAUCAGUCAAGUCGACUCAGCGUGUGUUGGUGUGCGUGCUGUGCUGUGUUUAGGAAAAAAAAAAGUCACUUCACGAGACUGGGCUGUAAAAAAACAAGAUAUUAGGCGUAUCAAUGAACUCCAUCCCAGCCCAUGUUCUCAUUGGUGUAUUUUUGCACAAUGGCGGCUCUUAGCUGUAUCAAUGAAUGAAUGGUUCAGAUCUACAAUAGGUCACCCCAUGUGCCAUUUAAAAGCUUGGGGGACGUUGGACAUUAGGAGAAGCAAGCAAAUGUAGCUUGAGUUGGUAGUUGCUGGUUAGAGAUGUCAGUCCCUCCACUGCAGCUCUCAGGUUGAACCCGCUUAUAGCUUUUUGUAAAGACUUGCUUUUCAAGUGAGUCAACUCAACAAGUCAUGUACAGUCUAGAGCGAGUCAUCCUGAUGCUCGAGUUUCAUAGCGACUCCCCUUGAAAUCUUGCCAAGUUUCAAGCUGACUCACCGAGUUUUAGAACUAUCGAGUCACCCUACUGACAUUAUCAAGAGUUGAUUCAGGGUCACCUUCAACAGCCACAUCUAGAAUUUGGCAUAUUCACGUUUGGAGUUAUGAUCCAAGAACCAAAUGCUUCCCUUCUUGUGUGCAAUAAAAACCCCUUGUGGAAUCUCAGAGUCAUUUCUCUACUUAAACGCCAAGGGCAUGAGGCAAGUCAAACUGGUUUUAGCUUGUUGCCUGUUGGGAGGAUAGUCUCCUACAUUUACUGAGCGGUGCCAUUAUGUAUGGACACAUCAGACUGGCUCUAUCUUCGAACAGAAACGUAACGAUGGAUUGGGUCACAUCAAUGAGCCCAAUGUGGCCAAAAGUACUAGUGUACCAACCUGGCACAUGUCAAUGACUCGUGUGUAUCAUCUCCUUGGCCGCCAAAUUGGCUUUUACAUGGCCCUUCAUUCAUGUAUCAUGUUAGUACUAACUGCCCAAGAUGAUGUAUUUUUGUGAUUGAAGGACUAGAUCUCUUGCAUCGAUGAUGAUCAAUGUAUAGUUUAAAUGUAAAGAGCAUUAAAUGAUAAAUUUUCAGAUUUUAUUGUUUGUGCUUA